GAUGAACGCUGGCGGCGUGCCUAAUACAUGCAAGUCGAGCGAACAGACGAGGAGCUUGCUCCUUCGACGUUAGCGGCGGACGGGUGAGUAACACGUAGGUAACCUACCUAUAAGACUGGGAUAACUUCGGGAAACCGGAGCUAAUACCGGAUAAUAUUUCGAACCGCAUGGUUCGAUAGUGAAAGAUGGCUUUGCUAUCACUUAUAGAUGGAUCUGCGCCGGAUUAGCUAGUUGCUAAGGUAACGGCUUACCAAGGCAACGAUCCGUAGCCGACCGGAGAGGGUGAUCGGCCACACUGGAACUUAGACACCGUCCAGACUCCUACGGGAGGCAGCAGUAGGGAAUCUUCCGCAAUGGGCGAAAGCCUGACGGAGCAACGCCGCGUGAGUGAUGAAGGUCUUCGGAUCGUAAAGCUCUGUUAUUAGGGAAGAACAAACGUGUAAGUAACUGUGCACGUCUUGACGGUACCUAAUCAGAAAGCCACGGCUAACUACGUG
rnacentral:rRNA from 1 species